GACAGAGGUGGCGAGCGUUGUUCGGAUUUAUUGGGCGUAAAGCGUACGCAGGCGGUUUGGUAAGUCAGAGGUGAAAGUCCACGGCUUAACCGUGGCACUGCCUUUGAUACUGCCUUUCUUGAGUAGAGUAGGGGGAAGCGGAAUUCCGAGUGUAGAGGUGAAAUUCGUAGAUAUUCGGAGGAACACCGGUGGCGAAGGCGGCUUCCUGGACUCUAACUGACGCUCAUGUACGAAAGCGUGGGUAGCAAACAGG
rnacentral:rRNA from 1 species